UGGGCGAGCUUUCCUGCGUUGCCAGGGGUGGUCGUACUACAGUCUGCCAAUGUACGCCGGUGACGUACUGGGCCUAGGCAUGGUGUGCAAGUGCAGGUCGAUUUUGGUCGUCCCGUACGACUUUGCCAUGGAGGAUCCCCUGGCCGCCGAGAACGCCACCGACGGGGACGCCGUGAGGGCGGGGUUCUCGGUGCGACGGAAGUCUGACGUCGGCUGGUACAGCGAGUGGAGGCCUCCGGACGCUUCUGCUCCGACGCUCAGGCUAGCGGGUCGUGUCCUACUCUUUUGUCAGGUUCAGGCGGGACGAGCGCGAGCAGCGGCGGGACAUGGACUCAAGCCAACACAGGUUCAUGGCGGAGCAGCUCACCUGCUGGUCUCCAGUCUCCACUUCGUAGAGUCGGCAGCAACUGCCUCACCAAUUGAUGUGCUCUUUUAUUCCUUCUCAGAUCCAUCUUUUUCAUACGUACCUCAAUAAAAGUUGGGGAUCAAGAAAUUGAUCGCUUCGAAGUACUGAGCAUGCCUAUUCUUUCUUAUGCAUGAGGGUAUGAAACAUAGGGGAUUUUUGGUGGUCAAAUGGUCAACCAAUCAGCCAAUGCCGUCAAGAUCUUCAUUGGGUGUGCUUGUGCUUUUUUGGAAGAUGCCAGGGCAGUAGCGCUGUUUCAGUAUAUUAAGAGAAGAUUUACAAAAUCUGAAGAUGUCAAGUAGUGAAAUGACUUUGGGAAUGGUGUGGUUCACCGGGAUAAUUAGUGGUAGCACCUCAUGCUGACAGGGAGUGCAUGAUCGAGAUUAUCAGAUACAACCGGAUUCCGCCACUUUGCAGUGUCAGAUUUUUGUUGGUGAGCUAGCCCAUGUUGUUCAUGGAAUGGCCUGAUGUGAAAGGAAAUGGGUCCAUAGGUCGAGAAGAGAAGCUUUCAUUUAGCAUAAGUGUGGUGUUGUUGCAAUUUUUUAUAUUAGUUAGAUAUUCAGAUAGCCUUUGUUUGGAGGUUAGAUAGUCUUAUUAUGAGAAUCAAGUAUGAAAUUAUGACAUUCUAUGAGGACUAUGUUUAGGCACAUAAAUUAUGAACCAAUUAUUCCUUCUUGAGAGGCGUUGUUUUUUCAGAAAAAUACUACUAUGAUUUCAGAAUUUUAGCAAAACAUGCAAGUUGUCAUCUUGAGAUUAGUUGUUAACUAGCAUUUGAAGGCAUGUGAUAUACAAAGAGACUAAUGGGUAUGUAUUGUGCUUUUAUAUAAAAAUAUACAAUAUCAC